CUACGGGGGGCUCCAGUUAAGAAUCUUCCGCAAUGGACGAAAGUCUGACGGAGCGACGCCGCGUGGGUGAAGAAGGCCGAGAGGUUGUAAAGCCCUUUUCUGCUUGAGGAAUAAGCCUGGUAGGGAAUGACCGGGUGAUGACGGUAGGGCAGGAAUAAGCCCCGGCUAAUUACGUGCCAGCAGCCGCGGUAACACGUAUGGGGCGAGCGUUGUUCGGAAUCAUCGGGCGUAAAGGGCGUGUAGGCGGAAAUGCAAGUCUGGUGUGAAAGACCGCAGCUCAACUGCGGGGACGCGCUGGAAACUGCAUAUCUUGAGUGCCGGAGGGGGAGUUGGAAUUCCUGGUGUAGGGGUGAAAUCUGUUGAUAUCAGGAAGAACAUCGGUGGCGAAGGCGAACUCCUGGACGAGAACUGACGCUGAGGCGCGAAAGCGUGGGGAGCGAACAGGAUUAGAUACCCCUGUAGUC
rnacentral:rRNA from 1 species